AUAGUUUACUGUUCCAAGUCAAACUCUUCUUAUUAUACCGAGUUAUUCAACGACCACACAUUUCUCUGGGGUUGGUGACCCCCCUUCCUUUCUCUUUUGCCUUAUGGCAUAAUUUGAGAUUUUCAGAUUUUUAAUGUUCUUCAUCAAGGUAGUAAUUGGUCUUAAUAUCUGACGAUGGUGUAUCUUUUUUGUGGUCAAAGACCACCGCUGUUCUUGGUUAAUAUCUAGUAUGUUUGCCACAAUUUCUUUGAUGGUUGCUUUUCCUGAAAAUAAAAAACACACAGUAUUAACAACCAUGAAUGAAAGCAAAUAGUUUACUGUUCCAAGUCAAACUCUUCUUAUUAUACCGAGUUAUUCAACGACCACACAUUUCUCUGGGGUUGGUGACCCCCCUUCCUUUCUCUUGCCUUAUGGCAUAAUUUGAGAUUUUCAGAUUUUUAAUGUUCAAGGUAGUGAUUGGUCUUAAUAUCUGACGAUGGUGUAUCUUUUUUGUGGUCAAAGACCACCGCUGUUCUUGGUUAAUAUCUAGUAUGUUUGCCACAAUUUCUUUGAUGGUUGUGUUUCCUGAAAAUAAAAAACACAGUAUUAACAACCAUGAAUGAAAGCAAAUAGUUUACUGUUCCAAGUCAAACUCUUCUUAUUAUACCGAGUUAUUCAACGACCACACAUUUCUCUGGGGUUGGUGACCCCCCUUCCUUUCUCUUGCCUUAUGGCAUAAUUUGAGAUUUUCAGAUUUUUAAUGUUCUUCAUCAAGGUAGUGAUUGGUCUUAAUAUCUGACGAUGGUGUAUCUUUUUUGUGGUCGAAGACCACCGCUGUUCUUGGUUAAUAUCUAGUAUGUUUGCCACAAUUUCUUUGAUGGUUGCUUUUCCUGAAAAUAAAAAACACACAGUAUUAACAACCAUGAAUGAAAGCAAAUUGUUUACUGUUCCAAGUCAAACUCUUCUUAUUAUACCGAGUUAUUCAACGACCACACAUUUCUCUGGGGUUGGUGACCCCCCUUCCUUUCUCUUUUGCCUAAUUGCAUAAUUUGAGAUGUUCAAAUUUUUCAUUAAGGCAAUGAUGGGUUUUAGUAUCUGAUGUUGUGUCACGGCCCUUUCUAGGUUCUUUUUUUACAUUAUUUUUGGAAAGAUUACCCAGUGCAACUGUUUUCUUAAGCUGCCAAUCAUUUUUUUUUUAAAUAGAAUAUCUGAUAACCAUAGUUUGGGUAUUGACCUUCUGUUAUAUAGUAACAACUUUUCAAAACAAAGAAUAAUCUUUUCUACUACCCAAUUAAAAAAAAUUAUAAUGACCUUUGAAUCCUUGGGACGAAGCAUUAUGUAAAGUGUGAAUCUUCCUAGGAAUAUCAUAUUUGGUAAAUAUCUCAUCAACCAGGAUCUUUGUUGCUACAGUUGUUGACUUAUGUUUCUGUGUUGAAUGCCCAGGCAUACUUAGAGAACACAUCUGUCACCAUCAGCACAUUUUCUCUGCCGUCACUUUAAGGUUCUAGUACUGUAAAAUCCACCGUCUCGGUGUCAAAGAGUCCCCUUUUCCUUUUGGUAUAAGCCUGAUUAACGGUGUUUUAUGAAAAAAGUCACGGCCCUUUCUAGGUUCUUUUUUUACAUUAUUUUCGUAAAGAUUACCCACUGCAAGGGUUUUCUUAAGCUGCCAAUCAUUUUUUUUUUUUUUAAUAGAAUAUCUGAUAACCAUAGUUUGGGUAUUGACCUUCUGUUAUAUAAUAACAACUUUUCAAAACAAAGAGAAUAAUCUUUUCUACUACCCAAGUAAAAACAAAAAUUAUAAUGACCUUUGAAUCCUUGGGACGAAGCAUUAUGUAAAGUGUGAAUCUUCCUAGGAAUAUCAUAUUUGGUAAAUAUCUCAUCAACCAGGGUCUUUGCUACAGUUGUUGACUUCUGUUUCUGUGUUGAAUGCCCAGGCAUACUUAGAGAACACAUCUGUCACCACCGGCACAUUUUCUCUGCCGUCACGUGAAGGUUCUAGUACUGUAAAAUCCACCGUCUCGGUGUCAGUCACCUUUUCCUUUUGGUAUAAGCCUGAUUAACGGUGUUUUAUGAAAAAAGUCACGGCCCUCUCUAGGUUCUUUUUUUACAUUAUUUUUGGAAAGAUUACCCAGUGCAACUGUUUUCUUAAGCUGCCAAUCAUUUUUUUUUUAAAUAGAAUAUCUGAUAACCAUAGUUUGGGUAUUGACCUUCUGUUAUAUAGUAACAACUUUUCAAAACAAAGAAUAAUCUUUUCUACUACCCAAUUAAAAAAAAUUAUAAUGACCUUUGAAUCCUUGGGACGAAGCAUUAUGUAAAGUGUGAAUCUUCCUAGGAAUAUCAUAUUUGGUAAAUAUCUCAUCAACCAGGAUCUUUGUUGCUACAGUUGUUGACUUAUGUUUCUGUGUUGAAUGCCCAGGCAUACUUAGAGAACACAUCUGUCACCAUCAGCACAUUUUCUCUGCCGUCACUUUAAGGUUCUAGUACUGUAAAAUCCACCGUCUCGGUGUCAAAGAGUCCCCUUUUCCUUUUGGUAUAAGCCUGAUUAACGGUGUUUUAUGAAAAAAGUCACGGCCCUUUCUAGGUUCUUUUUUUACAUUAUUUUUGGAAAGAUUACCCAGUGCAACUGUUUUCUUAAGCUGCCAAUCAUUUUUUUUUAAAUAGAAUAUCUGAUAACCAUAGUUUGGGUAUUGACCUUCUGUUAUAUAAUAACAACUUUU
rnacentral:lncRNA from 1 species